GUCAGUAGUAGCUCAGUGAUUAGGAAGUUGGACUACUAAUCUGAAGGUCGUGAGUUCAAAUCCUAGCACUGCCG